rnacentral:rRNA from 1 species
AUGCACGCUGGCGGCGUGCCUCAUACAUGCAAGUCGCGCGAACAGACGAGGAGCUUGCUCCUCUGACGUUAGCGGCGGACGGGUGAGUAACACGUGGAUAACCUACCUAUAAGACUGGGAUAACUUCGGGAAACCGGAGCUAAUACCGGAUAAUAUAUUGAACCGCAUGGUUCAAUAGUGAAAGACGGUUUUGCUGUCACUUAUAGAUGGAUCCGCGCCGCAUUAGCUAGUUGGUAAGGUAACGGCUUACCAAGGCGACGAUGCGUAGCCGACCUGAGAGGGUGAUCGGCCACACUGGAACUGAGACACGGUCCAGACUCCUACGGGAGGCAGCAGUAGGGAAUCUUCCGCAAUGGGCGAAAGCCUGACGGAGCAACGCCGCGUGAGUGAUGAAGGUCUUCGGAUCGUAAAACUCUGUUAUUAGGGAAGAACAAAUGUGUAAGUAACUAUGCACGUCUUGACGGUACCUAAUCAGAAAGCCUCGGCUAACUACGUG